GACGUAGGGCGCGAGCGUUGUCCGGAUUUAUUGGGCGUAAAGAGCUCGUAGGCGGCUUGUCGCGUCGGCUGUGAAAACCCGCGGCUCAACUGCGGGCCUGCAGCCGAUACGGGCAGGCUAGAGUUCGGUAGGGGAGACUGGAAUUCCUGGUGUAGCGGUGAAAUGCGUAGAUAUCGAGAGGAACACCUGCGGCGAAGGCGGGUAGCUGGGCCGACACUGACGCUGAGGCGCGAAAGCCAGGGGAGCGAACGGG
rnacentral:rRNA from 1 species